rnacentral:rRNA from 1 species
AUUGAACGCUGGCGGCAGGCCUAACACAUGCAAGUCGAACGAGUGGCGGACGGGUGCGUAAUGUCUGGGAAACUGCCUGAUGGAUGGGGAUACCUACUGGAAACGGUAGCUAAUACCGCAUACCAUCAGAUGUGCCCAGAUGGGCUUAGCUUGUUGGUGGGGUAACGGCUCACCAAGGCGACGAUCCCUAGCUGGUCUGAGAGGAUGACAAGCCAGACUGGAAAUGAGAAACGGUCCAGACUCCUACGGGAGGCAGGAGUGGGGAAUAUUGCACAAUGGGCGCAAGCCUGAUGAAGCCAUGCAGCGUGUAUGAAGAAGGCCUUCGGGUUGUAAAGUACUUUCAGCGGGGAGGCGUUACCCGCAGAAGAAGAACCGGCUAACUCCGUGCCAGCAGCCGCGGUAAUUC